UAUAUUUGCGGGUAUAAAAUGCAUAAAAAUUAUUAAAAUUAAUAUUGGCAUG
rnacentral:ncRNA from 1 species